UAUAAUGAUUGUUAGCAAUUG
rnacentral:piRNA from 1 species